CCUACGGGAGGCUGCAGUGAGGAAUAUUGGUCAAUGGACGAGAGUCUGAACCAGCCAAGUAGCGUGAAGGAUGACUGCCCUAUGGGUUGUAAACUUCUUUUAUAAAGGAAUAAAACGAGGCACGUGUGCCUUUUUGCAUGUACUUUAUGAAUAAGGAUCGGCUAACUCCGGGCCAGCCGCCGCGGUAAUACGGAGGAUCCGAGCGUUAUCCGGAUUUAUUGGGUUUAAAGGGUGCGCAGGCGGAGGCACAAGUCAGCGGUAAAAUCGCGGGGCUCAACCCCGCUCCGCCGUUGAAACUGUGUCCCUUGAGUGCGCGAAGGGUAGGCGGAAUGCGUGGUGUAGCGGUGAAAUGCAUAGAUAUCACGCAGAACUCCGAUCGCGAAGGCAGCCUACCGGCGCGCAACUGACGCUCAUGCACGAAAGCGUGGGUAUCGAACAGGAUUAGAUACCCUUGUAGUC
rnacentral:rRNA from 1 species